GAAUGCUUUCGAUCUGAGCGAUUUCAGUAUCACCCAGUACUUCAACCUAUUCCAGUCACUAUACCACAGUCAUUCAAAUGACGUGGGUCCAACUCGUCAUAUUAGCACUUUUCGUGUCGUCCUGCGCUUCUCAAAAUGGUAAUAGAGGUGGAAUGUCUUUGGACAAUGAGGAACACACAUUAAUGAGUCUUUUGAAGGCAAGCAGUCGCAGCAGCAGCUGUUCCCUUUCCAGUAUACCGUGCAGUUGUGCUAGCGCUCAGGGCGUUUGUACCUGCGUCGCUACCGCCUCACCGCCGUGUGCCUGUGCCAGUGGAACGUGUGCCAUCAGUAACGCUGGCACGACCACAACAACAGAAACUACCACCACCUCGACUACCACUUCUACCACCACCAA